rnacentral:rRNA from 1 species
GACGAACGCUGGCGGCGUGCUUAACACAUGCAAGUCGAACGGUGAGGCCCUUCUUUUUUUGGGUGCUCGAGUGGCGAACGGAUGGGUAACACGUGAGUAACCUGCCCUUGCCUUUUGUUUAACUUCACGUCACUGAGGCUAAUCCCGUAUAGGAGCUUCUGCUUCUUUGUCGUGGCUGGAUAGUUUGGGCGGUUGGCGUUGGACUCGCGGCUUAUCGGCUUGUUGGUGGGGUAGUGGCUUACCAAGGGUUUGACGGGUAGCCGGCCUGAGAGGGGGAUCGGACACAGUGGGACUGAGAGACGGCCGAGACUCCUACGGGAGGCAGAAGUGGGGAAUAUUGCAGAAGGGGCGGAAGCGUGAUGCAGAAAGGGCGCGUGCGGGAUGAAGGCCUUCGGGUUGUAAACGGAUGUCGGCUGUGACGAAGCGGGGGUGACGGUAAUGGGUAAAGAAGCACCGGCUAACUACGUG